GUCUGCGGCCAUGCUACCCUGAACGAGCCCGAUCCCGUCUGAUCUUGUAAGCUAAGCAGGGUCGGGCCUGGUUAGUGCUUGCAUGGGAGACCACCUAGGAAGACCAGGUGCUGUAGGCA
rnacentral:rRNA from 1 species